CAACUACAUAUUUAAAAUUAAAUUUAAAAAAUUUUUUUAAUAUCAUAAGAUCAGAAAUUUAAUUAAUAAUCCGCUGAAUACCAUGGAUGAUAAGAUGACUUUUUCGGAGGUGGAAAAAGCUAUUAAGUUGUUCAGUGUUGAUAUCUUGCCAGAUCUGGAUAACAUUGUUAGCAGGAUGUUAUGCAAUUCCUUUAAAACUAUUCCCCUCAUGUUUGUGAUUCUUUACAGUAAAUACUUUAGGAAUGAAUACACUUCUCAAACCAAUGGAAAAUCACUAAAAAUCAAAUUUAUUAUGAAAAGUAAUAAGAACAAUGACUACACUUAUG
rnacentral:lncRNA from 1 species